CCGGUGGGGCCCGGUCUGGGGCUGCCUCCAGCCCGGGCUGCCUGUCUUGGACUUAGUCGUGGACCUGGAGGCCAGUGCCCGGCUGGCCCCUGUCACCCUCUCGCUGUGACGCCAGCGCCUGCUGACUGGAGGACCCAGGUUCCUUCGCCUGCUUUUUCUCAGGCUGCCCUGAGGAUCUGUGUUUGGUGAAAAGGAGCCAAAUUCACCUGCAGGGCAGGCGGCUCUAGCAGCUUCAGAAGCCUGGUGCCCUGGCGACACUGGACCUGCCUUGGCUUCUUUGAUCCCAACCCCACCCCCGAUUUCUGCUCUGCUGACUGGGGAAGUCAUCGUGCCACCCAGAACCUGAGUGCGGGCCUCUCAGAGCUCCUUCGUCCGUGGGUCUGCCGGGGACUGGGCCUUGUCUCCCUAACGAGUGCCAGGGACUUUGAACAUG
rnacentral:lncRNA from 1 species